rnacentral:lncRNA from 1 species
UCCAAUGGUGUCUGUCAUGAAGGUUGAAAAAGCUCCCUUGGAAUCAUAUGCUGACAUUGGUGGAUUAGAUGCCCAGAUUCAGGAGAUUAAAGAAGCGGUUGAGCUUCCUUUGACUCACCCUGAGUUAUAUGAAGACAUUGGUAUUAAACCUCCUAAAGGGGUCAUCCUGUAUGGAGAGCCUGGCACAGGCAAAACCUUGCCGAGUUAUAUGAAGACAUUGGCAUUAAACCUCCUAAAGGGGUCAUCCUGUAUGGAGAGCCUGGCACAGGCAAAACCUUGCUUGCUAAGGUUUGUGAAAUUUCUUUUUGUGUAUACUGAGCUUAGAGAUUUAGUUGAGCUUCCAUUUUCACUACCCUAGUUGGAAUCAACAAGUCCUGUAAUGUUAGUGGAGUUCUUGAAAUUCGAAGUAUGUCUACUUCUUACAAGACUACCUGUGACUUGAUGAAGGAAAGGAAAUGUGUAGCCAAGUUCGAAUUUAGCAAGGUGGUUUGGGAAUUUACUAUUUUAACUUUCGAGCGAAAUAUUUUCUGAUACAUUUCGUUUGUACAUGUGCAAACAGUUGUAAUCAACUAGUUAUUAGGCUUUUUCUUAUCUACUUUUGGAAUAGAAUGUCUCUCUAGUGCGAACAAUUGGAAUCUACUACUUGUUAUCGACUCUUUUUUCAUUCACUUCUAGAAUAUAUAAUGUCUCUCUAGCGCGUAAUAUGAAAAAUACUCAAGAGCUUUAUUAAACCUUUUUGUUCAGGCUGUUGCAAACUCCACUUCAGCCACUUUCUUACGUGUUGUUGGAAGUGAACUGAUCCAGAAGUAUUUAGGAGAUGGGCCU